rnacentral:RNase_P_RNA from 1 species
CGAGGAAUAGGGCCACAGAGACGAGCGUAUUUAGUUACGGUGAAACGCGGUAACCUCCACCCGGAGCAAUUUCAAAUAGGCACGCGUUGAGGCGGCUCGCGGAGCGUGCGGGUAGAAAGCUUGAGCCUGGGAGUAAUCCCCGGCCUAGAGGAAUGAUUGUCAUAGCACAAGGCAGCAAUGCCAAGUGCCGUAACAGAAUCCGGCCUAUCGGCCUGCUUCAUUU